GCCUGGCUAGCUCAUUUGGUAGAGCAUGAAACUCUUAAUCUCAGGGUCAUGGGUUCAAGCCCUAUGCUGGGCA
rnacentral:tRNA from 1 species